UACGUAGGUGACCAGCGUUGUCCGGAUUUACUGGGCGUAAAGAGCGCGCAGGCGGUCGUUCAAGUCGCGUGUGAAAGCCCCCGGCUCAACUGGGGAGGGUCACGCGAUACUGAUCGACUCGAAGGCAGGAGAGGGUAGUGGAAUUCCCGGUGUAGUGGUGAAAUUCGUAGAUAUCGGGAGGAACACCGGUGGCGAAGGCGGCGACCUGGGUUGACACUGACGCUGAGGCGCGAAAGCGUGGGGAGCAAACAGG
rnacentral:rRNA from 1 species